UACGUAGGGUGCAAGCGUUGUCCGGAAUUAUUGGGCGUAAAGAGCUCGUAGGCGGUCUGUUGCGUCGGCUGUGAAAACCCGCGGCUUAACCGCGGGCUUGCAGCCGAUACGGGCGGGCUGGAGUUCGGUAGGGGAGACUGGAAUUCCUGGUGUAGCGGUGAAAUGCGCAGAUAUCAGGAGGAACACCGGUGGCGAAGGCGGGUCUCUGGGCCGAUACUGACGCUGAGGAGCGAAAGCGUGGGGAGCGAACAGG
rnacentral:rRNA from 1 species